rnacentral:rRNA from 1 species
UGGGGAAUAUUGCACAAUGGGGGAAACCCUGAUGCAGCAACGCCGCGUGAGUGAUGACGGUCUUCGGAUUGUAAAGCUCUGUCUUUAGGGACGAUAAUGACGGUACCUAAGGAGGAAGCCACGGCUAACUACGUGCCAGCAGCCGCGGUAAUACGUAGGUGGCAAGCGUUGUCCGGAUUUACUGGGCGUAAAGGGAGCGUAGGCGGAUCUUUAAGUGGGAUGUGAAAUACUCGGGCUCAACCUGGGGGCUGCAUUCCAAACUGGGGAUCUAGAGUACAGGAGGGGAGAGUGGAAUUCCUAGUGUAGCGGUGAAAUGCGUAGAGAUUAGGAAGAACACCAGUGGCGAAGGCGACUCUCUGGACUGUAACUGACGCUGAGGCUCGAAAGCGUGGGGAGCAAACA